rnacentral:rRNA from 1 species
GAUGAACGCUGGCGGCGUGCCUAAUACAUGCAAGUCGAGCGAACGGACGAGGAGCUUGCUCCUCUGACGUUAGCGGCGGACGGGUGAGUAACACGUGGAUAACCUACCUAUAAGACUGGGAUAACGUCGGGAAACCGGAGCUAAUACCGGAUAAUAUAUUGAACCGCAUGGUUCAAUAGUGAAAGACGGUUUUGCUGUCACUUAUAGAUGGAUCCGCGCCGCAUUAGCUAGUUGGUAAGGUAACGGCUUACCAAGGCAACGAUGCGUAGCCGACCUGAGAGGGUGAUCGGCCACACUGGAACUGAGACACGGUCCAGACUCCUACGGGAGGCAGCAGUAGGGAAUCUUCCGCAAUGGGCGAAAGCUUGACGGAGCAACGCCGCGUGAGUGGUGAAGGUCUUCGGAUCGUAAAACUCUGUUAUUAGGGAAGAACAAAUGUGUAAGUAACUAUGCACGUCUUGACGGUACCUAAUCAGAAAGCCACGGCUAACUACGUG